AUUCAUAUAGGGGUUGUUUCUGUGACUAUUGACCACUCCUCGGAGACGUUAACAGUAGUUGGGGAUGUUGACCCUAUGAAGGUUGUGAACAAAUUAAGAAAAUCAUGGCCUACGGACAUACUAACAAUUGGGCCAGCAAAGUAAGAAAAUCUAAGAAAUUUCUUCUAUUUAUAACUAACCAAUAACUUUUUAUUGGAUUAGUAUUAAUUUUAUCUCAAAGUGACCUUUUUCUUUUUGGUAAGAAAAUAUAUAUCGUUCACAUGACUUCAAAGAGUUUUUAGUGUACUGAAAAGUUUUAUAUAUUUGUUCACAUUGUGUAAGUUAUCUAUUCAUGAAUAUGUUUGAAGAGUGGCCUUGUGAUGGAAUAUAAUGCCUCGUUAUGCAAAAAGUAUAAAUCAAA
rnacentral:lncRNA from 1 species